rfam:Arthrobacter sp. TCD-GKA scaffold_4, whole genome shotgun sequence.
CAACCAUCCAGAGCGGCCGAGAGAUCUGGCUCGAUGACGCCGCAGCAACCCCUCCCCUUAAUUGGGCGGUAGGUGCUCACGCCAGAACCGAUGGAGA